UACAGAGGGUGCAAGCGUUAAUCGGAAUCACUGGGCGUAAAGAGUGCGUAGGUGGUUAGAAAAGUUGAGUGUGAAAUCCCCGGGCUCAACCUGGGAAUUGCGCUCAAAACUGUCUAGCUAGAGUAUGGUAGGGGGAAGUGGAAUUUCCGGUGUAGCGGUGAAAUGCGUAGAUAUCGGAAGGAACAUCAGUGGCGAAGGCGACUUCCUGGACUAAUACUGACACUGAGGCACGAAAGCGUGGGGAGCAAACAGG
rnacentral:rRNA from 1 species